rnacentral:rRNA from 1 species
GGCUCAGGAUGAACGCUGACGGCGUGCCUAAUACAUGCAAGUCGAACGAGGUGCUUUUGUAGCAAUACGAGAGUAUCCUAGUGGCGAACGGGUGAGUAACGCGUUGGUGACCUACCCCAAAGUGUGGGAUAACAGUCCGAAAAGAUUGCUAAUACCGCAGGUGGUUAUUGGAUCUAGAAACUGAUAACUAAAGGAGCAAUUCGCUUUGGGAGGGACCUGCGUCCCAUCAGCUAGUUGGUGAGGUAACGGCUCACCAAGGCUACGACGGGUAGGGGACCUGAGAGGGUGGCCCCCCACAAUGGAACUGAAACACGGUCCAUACACCUACGGGUGGCAGCAGUAGGGAAUAUUGCACAAUGGGCGAAAGCCUGAUGCAGCAACGCCGCGUGUGCGAUGAAGGCCUUCGGGUCGUAAAGCACUUUUCUGAGAGAUGAGAAAGGACAGUAUCUCAGGAAUAAGUCUCGGCUAACUACGUGCCAGCAGCCGCGGUAACACGUAGGAGGCGAGCGUUAUCCGGAUUCACUGGGCGUAAAGCGCGUGCAGGCGGUUUGGUAAGUUGAUCGUGAAAGCUCCCGGCUCAACUGGGAGAGGUCGGUCAAUACUACCGAACUAGAGAGUAGAAGAGGAAGAUGGAAUUCCCGGUGUAGUGGUGAAAUGCGUAGAUAUCGGGAGGAACACCAGUGGCGAAGGCGAUCUUCUGGUCUAUUUCUGACGCUCAGACGCGACAGCUAGGGUAGUAAACGGGAUUAGAGACCCCGGUAAUCCUAGCCGUAAACGAUGUGAACUUGGCGUCGGUGGCUUAAACACCAUCGGUGCCGAAGCAAACGCGAUAAGUUCACCGCCUGGGGACUACGG